rnacentral:rRNA from 1 species
GAGUUUGAUCCUGGCUCAGGACGAACGCUGGCGGCGUGCCUAAUACAUGCAAGUCGAGCGGACUGAAGGGAGCUUGCUCCCGGACGUUAGCGGCGGACGGGUGAGUAACACGUAGGCAACCUGCCUUGUAGACUGGGAUAACUUCGGGAAACCGGAGCUAAUACCGGAUGUUAGAUGAAUCGCGCAUGCGUUUUAUCUUAAAGUUGGCCUCGGCUAACACUACAAGAUGGGCCCGCGGCGCAUUAGCUAGUUGGUGAGAUAAAAGCUCACCAAGGCAACGAUGCGUAGCCGACCUGAGAGGGUGAUCGGCCACACUGGGACUGAGACACGGCCCAGACUCCUACGGGAGGCAGCAGUAGGGAAUCUUCCGCAAUGGACGAAGGUCUGACGGAGCAACGCCGCGUGAACGAAGAAGGUUCUCGGAUCGUAAAGUUCUGUUGUUAGGGAAGAACACGUACCAUUCGAAUAGGGUGGUACCUUGACGGUACCUAACGAGAAAGCCCCGGCUAACUACGUGCCAGCAGCCGCGGUAAUACGUAGGGGGCAAGCGUUGUCCGGAAUUAUUGGGCGUAAAGCGCUCGCAGCGGUUUUUAAGUCUGAUGUGAAAUCUUGCGGCUCACCG